rnacentral:rRNA from 1 species
AUCUUGGGAAUUUCAUCGUGAUGGGGAUAGAUCAUUGCAAUUGUUGGUCUUCAACGAGGAAUGCCUAGUAAGCGCGAGUCAUCAGCUCGCGUUGACUACGUCCCUGCCCUUUGUACACACCGCCCGUCGCUCCUACCGAUUGAAUGGUCCGGUGAAGUGUUCGGAUCGCGGCGACGGGGGCGGUUCGCCGCCCCCGACGUCGCGAGAAGUCCAUUGAACCUUAUCAUUUAGAGGAAGGAGAAGUCGUAACAAGGUUUCCGUAGGUGAACCUGCGGAAGGAUCAUUG